CGAACGCUGGCGGCAGGCCUAAUACAUGCAAGUCGAACGGCUCUUCGGAGCAGUGGCGGACGGGUGAGUAACGCGUGGGAAUGUGCCCUUAGGUACGGAACAACACAGGGAAACUUGUGCUAAUACCGUAUGUGCCCUUCGGGGGAAAGAUUUAUCGCCUUUGGAGCAGCCCGCGUUGGAUUAGGUAGUUGGUGAGGUAAAGGCUCACCAAGCCGACGAUCCAUAGCUGGUCUGAGAGGAUGACCAGCCACACUGGGACUGAGACACGGCCCAGACUCCUACGGGAGGCAGCAGUAGGGAAUCUUGCGCAAUGGGCGAAAGCCUGACGCAGCCAUGCCGCGUGUAUGAUGAAGGUCUUAGGAUUGUAAAAUACUUUCACCGGGGAAGAUAAUGACGGUACCCGGAGAAGAAGCCCCGGCUAACUUCGUGCCAGCCGCCGCCGUAACAC
rnacentral:rRNA from 1 species